rnacentral:rRNA from 1 species
AUGAGAGUUUGAUCCUGGCUCAGAGCGAACAUUGGCGGCGCGUUUAACACAUGCAAGUCGAGCGAGAAAGUUUCUUCGGAAACGAGUAGAGCGGCGAACGGGUGAGUAACACGUGAGUGA